rnacentral:rRNA from 1 species
GAUGAACGCUGGCGGCGUGCCUAACACAUGCAAGUCGAACGGAGAUUACGGACGGAAGUUUUCGGAUGGAAGACUGUAAUUCUUAGUGGCGGACGGGUGAGUAACGCGUGGGCAACCUGCCCUAUACAGGGGGAUAGCAGCUGGAAACGGCUGGUAAGACCGCAUAAGUCGGCGAGACCGCAUGGUUUUGCCGGGAAAUGAGCAAUCAGGUAUAGGAUGGGCCCGCGUCCGAUUAGCCAGUUGGCAGGGUAAAAGCCUACCAAAGCAACGAUCGGUAGCCGGACUGAGAGGUCGGACGGCCACAUUGGGGCUGAGACACGGCCCAAACUCCUACGGGAGGCAGCAGUGGGGGAUAUUGCACAAUGGAGGAAACUCUGAUGCAGCGACGCCGCGUGAGUGAAGAAGUGUUUCGGUAUGUAAAGCUCUAUCAGCAGGGAAGAUGAUGACGGUACCUGACUAAGAAGCCCCGGCUAACUACGUG